CCCAAGGCUAAAUACUCCCUAGUGACCGAUAGUGAACCAGUACCGUGAGGGAAAGGUGAAAAGCACCCCGGAAGGGGAGUGAAACAGUUCCUGAAACCGUGUGCCUACAAGUAGUUAGAGCCCGUUAAUGGGUGAUAGCGUGCCUUUUGUAGAAUGAACCGGCGAGUUACGAUUUGUUGCAAGGUUAAGCGGAAAAAGCGGAGCCGUAGCGAAAGCGAGUCUGAAUAGGGCGCAUAAGUAACAGGUCGUAGACCCGAAACCAGGUGAUCUACCCAUGUCCAGGAUGAAGGUAAGGUAAUACUUACUGGAGGUCCGAACCCACGCACGUUGAAAAGUGCGGGGAUGAGGUGUGGGUAGCGGAGAAAUUCCAAUCGAACUUGGAGAUAGCUGGUUCUCUCCGAAAUAGCUUUAGGGCUAGCCUCGAGGUAAAGAGUCAUGGAGGUAGAGCACUGUUUGGACUAGGGGCCCUUCUCGGGUUACCGAAUUCAGAUAAACUCCGAAUGCCAUGUACUUAUACUCGGGAGUCAGACUGCGAGUGAUAAGAUCCGUAGUCGAAAGGGAAACAGCCCAGACCACCAGUUAAGGUCCCCAAAUAUAUGUUAAGUGGAAAAGGAUGUGGGGUUGCUUAGACAACCAGGAUGUUGGCUUAGAAGCAGCCACCAUUGAAAGAGUGCGUAAUAGCUCACUGGUCGAGUGACCCCGCGCCGAAAAUGUACCGGGGCUAAACAUAUUACCGAAACUGUGGAUGAACCUCUUUAGAGGUUCGUGGUAGGAGAGCGUUCUAAGGGCGGUGAAGUCAGACCGGAAGGACUGGUGGAGCGCUUAGAAGUGAGAAUGCCGGUAUGAGUAGCGAAAGAAGGGUGAGAAUCCCUUCCACCGAAUAUCUAAGGUUUCCUGAGGAAGGCUCGUCCGCUCAGGGUUAGUCGGGACCUAAGCCGAGGCCGAUAGGCGUAGGCGAUGGACAACAGGUAGAGAUUCCUGUACCAGUGCUAAUUGUUUAACCGAUGGGGUGACACAGAAGGAUAGGGAAUCGCACGAAUGGAAAUGUGCGUCCAAGCAGUGAGUGUGAGAAGUAGGCAAAUCCGCUUCUCGCGAAGCAUGAGCUGUGAUGGGGAAGGAAAUUAAGUACGGAAGUUCCUGAUUUCACGCUGUCAAGAAAAGCCUCUAGGAAGAGUAGUACUGCCCGUACCGCAAACCGACACAGGUAGAUGAGGAGAGAAUCCUAAGGUGAGCGAGAGAACUCUCGUUAAGGAACUCGGCAAAAUGACCCCGUAACUUCGGGAGAAGGGGUGCUCUAUUAGGGUGCAAGCCCGAGAGAGCCGCAGUGAAUAGGCCCAGGCGACUGUUUAGCAAAAACACAGGUCUCUGCAAAACCGUAAGGUGACGUAUAGGGGCUGACGCCUGCCCGGUGCUGGAAGGUUAAGAGGAGUGCUUAGCUUCGGCGAAGGUACGAAUUGAAGCCCCAGUAAACGGCGGCCGUAACUAUAACGGUCCUAAGGUAGCGAAAUUCCUUGUCGGGUAAGUUCCGACCCGCACGAAAGGCGCAACGAUCUGGGCACUGUCUCAACGAGAGACUCGGUGAAAUUAUAGUACCUGUGAAGAUGCAGGUUACCCGCGACAGGACGGAAAGACCCCGUGGAGCUUUACUGCAACCUGAUAUGGAAUGUUUGUACCGCUUGUACAGGAUAGGUAGGAGCCGAAGAGACGUGUGCGCUAGCAUACGAGGAGGCAAUGGUGGGAUACUACCCUGGCUGUAUGACCAUUCUAACCCGCCACGCUUAGCGCGUGGGGAGACAGUGUCAGGUGGGCAGUUUGACUGGGGCGGUCGCCUCCUAAAGAGUAACGGAGGCGCCCAAAGGUUCCCUCAGAAUGGAUGGAAAUCAUUCGCAGAGUGUAAAGGCACAAGGGAGCUUGACUGCGAGACUGACAAGUCGAGCAGGGACGAAAGUCGGGCUUAGUGAUCCGGUGGUUCCGCAUGGAAGGGCCAUCGCUCAACGGAUAAAAGCUACCCCGGGGAUAACAGGCUUAUCUCCCCCAAGAGUCCACAUCGACGGGGAGGUUUGGCACCUCGAUGUCGGCUCGUCGCAUCCUGGGGCUGUAGUCGGUCCCAAGGGUUGGGCUGUUCGCCCAUUAAAGCGGCACGCGAGCUGGGUUCAGAACGUCGUGAGACAGUUCGGUCCCUAUCCGUCGCGGGCGCAGGAAAUUUGAGAGGAGCUGUCCUUAGUACGAGAGGACCGGGAUGGACACACCGCUGGUGUACCAGUUGUUCCGCCAGGAGCAUCGCUGGGUAGCUAUGUGUGGCAGGGAUAAACGCUGAAAGCAUCUAAGCGUGAAGCCCCCCUCAAGAUGAGAUUUCCCAUUUCUUCGGAAAGUAAGAUCCCUGAAAGAUGAUCAGGUAGAUAGGUUUGGAGUGGAAGUGUAGCGAUACAUGGAGCGGACAAAUACUAAUCGAUCGAGGACUUAACCAAAA
rnacentral:rRNA from 1 species